CGUCUCAAUCUUCUCUGCAGCUGC
rnacentral:siRNA from 1 species